rnacentral:misc_RNA from 1 species
UCCGGCUUGACGCCGGCAGUCCCCCGAGAGUCCUCGGCAUGACCCGGUAGCAACUGGGAGCGGGGGUUGCGCUCGUUGCGGGACUUAACCCAACAUCUCACGGCACGAGCUGACGACAGCCAUGCAGCACCUGUCUCGGGACUCCGAAGAGGGGUCCUGGUUUCUCAGGACUUUCCCCGAGAUGUCAAGCCCAGGUAAGGUUCUUCGCGUUGCGUCGAAUUAAACCACAUGCUCCACCGCUUGUGCGGGCCCCCGUCAAUUCCUUUGAGUUUUAGUCUUGCGACCGUACUCCCCAGGCGGGGCACUUAAUGCGUUAGCUGCGGCACGGAGCCCGUCGAUAAGGCCCCACACCUAGUGCCCAACGUUUACGGCGUGGACUAC